rnacentral:misc_RNA from 1 species
GAUGAAGAACGCAGCGAAAUGCGAUACGUAAUGUGAAUUGCAGAAUUCAGUGAAUCAUCGAAUCUUUGAACGCACAUUGCGCCCGCCAGCACUCUGGCGGGCAUGCCUGUUCGAGCGUCAUUUCAACCAUCAAGCCCCAGGCUUGCGUUGGAGCCCUGCGGCUGACGCAGCCUCCUAAAAGCAGUGGCGGGCUCGCUAUCACACCGAGUGCAGUAGAUUACUCUUCGCUCAGGGCGUGCAGCGGGUUCCGGCCGUGAAACCCCCUACUUUUAAAGGUUGACCUCGGAUCAGGUAGGAAUACCCGCUGAACUUAAGCAUAUCAAUAAGCGGAGGA